ACACACCCUAAAGAUAAUUUUUGAAGGCUCUGAGUAUUUAGGUCCAAACCAGUGCCCCAUUUCUAAG
rnacentral:snRNA from 1 species